rnacentral:rRNA from 1 species
GUAGGGAGCAAGCGUUGUCCGGAAUCAUUGGGCGUAAAGCGCGCGUAGGUGGCCACAUAAGUCCGUUGUGAAAGUCAAAGGCUCAACCUUUGAAAGCCGAUGGAUACUGUGUGGCUAGAGUACGGAAGAGGCGAGUGGAAUUCCUGGUGUAGCGGUGGAAUGCGCAGAUAUCAGGAGGAACACCAAUAGCGAAGGCAGCUCGCUGGGACGUUACUGACACUGAGGCGCGAAAGCGUGGGGAGCGAACAGGAUUAGAUACCCUGGUAGUCCACGCCGUAAACGAUGGGUACUAGGUGUGGGAGGUGUCGACUCCUCCCGUGCCGUCGCUAACGCACUAAGUACCCCGCCUGGGGAGUACGGCCGCAAGGCUAAA